rnacentral:rRNA from 1 species
GAUGAACGCUAGCGGCAGGCCUAAUACAUGCAAGUCGAACGGUGUCUUCGGACAUAGUGGCGCACGAGUGCGUAACACGUAUGCAACCUACCUUACAUUGGGGGAUAGCCUUUCGAAAGGGAGAUUAAUACCGCAUAAGACAGUAGCUGGGCAUCCAGCAGCUGUUAAAGAUUUAUCGAUGUAAGCUGGGCAUGCGUCCAAUUGGCUAGUUGGUGAGGUAACGGCUCACCAAGGCAAUGAUUGGUAGGGGAACUGAGAGGUCAAUCCCCCACACUGGCACUGAGAUACGGGCCAGACUCCUACGGGAGGCAGCAGUAGGGAAUAUUGGGCAAUGGACGCAAGUCUGACCCAGCCAUGCCGCGUGCAGGAUGAAGGCGUUAUGCGUUGUAAACUGCUUUUAUACAGGAAGAAACGACUCUUGCGAGAGGCAUUGACGGUACUGUAUGAAUAAGCACCGGCUAACUCCGUGCCAGCCGCCGCGGUAAUAC